GACGAACGCUGGCGGCGUGCUUAACACAUGCAAGUCGAACGAAGAGCGAUGGAAGCUUGCUUCUAUCAAUCUUAGUGGCGAACGGGCGAGUAACGCGUAAUCAACCUGCCCUUCAGAGGGGGACAACAGUUGGAAACGACUGCUAAUACCGCAUACGAUCUAACCUUGGCAUCGAGGAUGGAUGAAAGGUGGCCUCUAUUUAUAAGCUAUCACUGAAGGAGGGGAUUGCGUCUGAUUAGCUAGUUGGAGGGGUAACGGCCCACCAAGGCGAUGAUCAGUAGCCGGUCUGAGAGGAUGAACGGCCACAUUGGGACUGAGACACGGCCCAGACUCCUACGGGAGGCAGCAGUGGGGAAUCUUCCGCAAUGGACGAAAGUCUGACGGAGCAACGCCGCGUGAGUGAUGACGGCCUUCGGGUUGUAAAGCUCUGUUAAUCGGGACGAAAGGCCUUCUUGCGAAUAGUGAGAAGGAUUGAAG
rnacentral:rRNA from 1 species